UACCCUUUUGUCUAAAAUUACAAUUUAUUCAAACAAACACUCUUAUCUUCACUUCAUCUCUACUGAUCCAAAUUAGUCUUUCUGCCUCUCUCUCAUCUCCAAAUCCAUCUUCAAAUUCAUUUAAGCUUCAACCGGAGAGACGACUUCCUUUAGGUUUCGGCCAAAGUUGUAACAUGAUUUAUGGUUAGGACAUUGACGGGGGGUGACACCGCCAUAUCAGGUGCUUUUGGGUUUCAAAUCGGUGGAUUCAUGACGGUUCUCCGGCGAAUAAAAUAAAUCGACCUACCGCAACCUUAGUGUGGUGGUGAUUGUGGGCCUGUGGCAGUCAAGAGGGAAAGAGAUUUUUUGAAAACAGAGGAAAAAGAACUGAAGAAUUUAGGUUUUAUGAAGAGGGGAGGAUACAAGGUGGGCGUGACGGCUGAUGAAACUAGGUUAUUGUUGCUAUUGUUUUGGGCUUUCAUUGGGCUCAUUAGGAUAAAAAAUGCUCGAGGAUAAUUAUGUUGUGUUUAAUUAAUUGAGUUAAUUUAUAAUUGUAUAAAAAGUCGACCGAAAAAUAAUACAUUUGAUGUUUUAUUAUAUAAAUAAAAACCAGCAACACUCUUCAGUUAUCAAAA